rnacentral:rRNA from 1 species
AAGCCAGUCGAAGAUACCAGCUGGCUGCAACUGUUUAUUAAAAACACAGCACUGUGCAAACACGAAAGUGGACGUAUACGGUGUGACGCCUGCCCGGUGCUGGAAGGUUAAUUGAUGGGGUCAGCCGCAAGGCGAAGCUCCUGAUCGAAGCCCCAGUAAACGGCGGCCGUAACUAUAACGGUCCUAAGGUAGCGAAAUUCCUUGUCGGGUAAGUUCCGACCUGCACGAAUGGCGUAAUGAUGGCCAGGCUGUCUC